rnacentral:rRNA from 1 species
AUUGAACGCUGGCGGCAUGACUUACACAUGCAAGUCGAACGGUAACAGGCCGCGAGCUGCUGACUAGUGGCGGACGGGGGAGGACUGCUUCGGAACGCACCGGAACCUGCGUGUUCGCUGCUCGUAAGGGUGGCUAAUACCGCAUACGACCUAAUGAUGCCAGCGGGGGACCGCAGGGCCUCGCCCGAUUUGGGCCGCCGAUGUCGGAUUAGGUAGUUGGUGGGGUAAAGGCCCACCAAGCCGACGAUCCGUAGCUGGUCUGAGAGGAUGAGCAGCCACACUGGGACUGAGACACGGUCCAGACUCCUACGGGAGGCAGCAGUGGGGAAUAUUGGACAAUGGGCGCAAGCCUGAUCCAGCAAUGCCGCGUGCGGGAAGAAGGCCUUCGGGUUGUAAAGUGCUUUUGUUGGGAAAGAAAAGGCGCUGGUUAAUACCCGGGGGUACUGACGGUACCGAAAGAAUAAGCACCGGCUAACUUCGUG